GGCUACGCAGACAUCAUGGCUAAGAGUUGCCAUGAUGAAGAGGAUGACGAUGGAGAAGUGAAGAGUUUUGAAGAAAAAGAGAUGGAGAAGCAGAAGCUGUUGUAUCAGCAGGCUCGGCUGCACGACCGUGGCGCUGCUGAGAUGGUGCUCCAAACCAUCAGUGCUAGUAAAGGGUGUCAGGUCUCUGGCCC